AUUGAACGCUGGCGGCAUGCCUUACACAUGCAAGUCGAACGGUAACAGGUCUUCGGAUGCUGACGAGUGGCGAACGGGUGAGUAAUACAUCGGAACGUGCCUAGUAGUGGGGGAUAACUACUCGAAAGAGUGGCUAAUACCGCAUGAGAUCUACGGAUGAAAGCAGGGGAUCGCAAGACCUUGUGCUACUAGAGCGGCCGAUGGCAGAUUAGGUAGUUGGUGGGAUAAAAGCUUACCAAGCCGACGAUCUGUAGCUGGGCUGAGAGGACGAUCAGCCACACUGAGACUGGGACACGGCCCAGACUCCUACGGGAGGCAGCAGUGGGGAAUUUCGGACAAGGGGCGCAAGCCUGAUCCAGCAAUGCCGCGUGCAGGAUGAAGGCCUUCGGGUUGUAAACUGCUUUUGUACGGAACGAAAAGCCCCGGGUUAAUACCCUGGGGUCAUGACGGUACCGUAAGAAUAAGCACCGGCUAACUACGUGCCAGCCGCCGCCGUAA
rnacentral:rRNA from 1 species